rnacentral:rRNA from 1 species
AUGGAGGGAAAACAACAAUGGGACAUGGUGGACCCUGGAUUCAAGCUUUGCGCUCCAGUUCUCAAGAGAGCAGCAGGUAGACCAAGGAAGAGUCGAAUCAGACCUCGCAGCGAAGGAGCUGGACUUGGAGCGAGGAAGUGUAAGUGCACAAGGUGUGGUGGGUCUGGUCAUUUCGGUAAGUAUUGUGAUAACAUAGUAGAUCCAGCGUUCGGAGAGAUUUUCAAUGAAGGCUUCGAUGAAAAUGUUGGUCAGCAGUCGGUUGCCUCAAUAGAUGAUGAAAAUGAUGGUCAACAACCGGUUGCAUCAGAUGAGGAUUUUGACGAGGUUCCAAAUGAUGAUGGUCAA